UUAAAGUUGUAGUUUGGAAAGU
rnacentral:miRNA from 1 species